rnacentral:rRNA from 1 species
GCGCGAAAACUUUACAAUGCUGGCAACAGCGAUAAGGGAACCUCGAGUGCCAGGUUACAAAUCUGGCUGUCGAGAUGCCUAAAAAGCAUUUCAUAGCAAGGGCCGGGCAAGACCGGUGCCAGCCGCCGCGGUAACACCGGCGGCUCGAGUGAUAACCGUUAUUAUUGGGUCUACAGGGUCUGUAGCCGGCCGGAUAAGUCUCUUGAGAAAUCUGGCAGCUUAACUGUCAGGCUUUCAGGAGAUACUGUCUGGCUCGAGGCCGGGAGAGGUGAGAGGUACUUCAGGGGUAGGGGUGAAAUCUUGUAAUCCUCGAAUGACCACCAGUGGCGAAGGCGUCUCACCAGAACGUACCUGACGGCAAGGGACGAAAGCUAGGGGCACGAGCC